GUUUGACAGAAAACUGAGCACCUGACAAGAGGAAGAGCUGAAGGACAGAAUUUCCAGUGAGAUUCUCAGUUAUGGCUCUAAUUUCUACUGCAGCUAAAAGUGAGCACAGUUAGCAGGUGCUCUGUGUUACAUCAUCUGGAGGCAGAGAGCAUGGGAGGUCAUCUCUGUGUCUGCAUAGCACCUGUGCUCACACUAGCAUCUAAUUAUCCAGAAUCAGACUUGAAUCUGACUUGGAAUCUGUUCCUUCUUGGAAGUUUUUCUCACUCGCACAUAAUUAUUGAGCUAGUGGAGCAAUUCUAUGCACUGAAUGGAUUUCUCAGAGUGCCACGCUGAAGCAGAAACAGAAGGAUGAAAGGUUCUCUAUCCUCUUACAAAUGGUUUCCUGAGAAGCACUACAAUGCUGGCUUCUCACUGUAGCAAUCAAGAGCUGAAGGCAGCAAUUGUUGCUGUUGGUGGCUGAAGCCAUGCAGCAUAUGCCAGCAAUGGAACGUGGUCUUUACUCAGAUGCCUGUGUGAAGGUAAGGUGAAGCUGCAGGAGCCACAGAAAUCAAGCAUUCUUCUGGUGAAGCUUUCUAAGAUCAGAAGUGCCAAUGAAAUCAAGGACGACAAAUGAACGAUGUGUUAAAACAGGUGUGGCAGUGGAGAAAGGAGCCCUUGUGGUCACUGCUGCCCACAGACUGGCACUGGGUGCGUGCAUACUGACAGUCACAGACUCCACUGUAGUUUGAGCAUCCGAAGAGCAUAAAGCCUGGGUGGCUAUGAAUGACUUCCAUGUGUCAUUUGAAUGAAGGUAUUUUGAAGACUGGCUAUUGACACCUGAAACAAUUACUAUUCUGCUCGUGGAUUUGACACCUCAGACUAGUUAAUCACCAGAGGGGCUUCACAUGCCAUCAGAAGGCUCUUCUGAAGGCUACUCGGCCUGUGUCUGUCUAAGCCUGCCUGCAGUACUGUAUGCUGAAGAAAAGGGUUUGUCCAGUGCUCUUCCCAAAAGAGUAUCAGGCAUCAUGCUGGUGUUCUUUAAACUUUCACACUGCAUAGAGUAAUUAUGUUUCCCUUUCUCACAGUCUCUUGCAGUGCUACAUGUCAAGGUUGACUACGCUUUUCCUGAUUACUCCCACUCUUAGUUAUUUUAAUUCUCUUUGCCAAACCUGGUUCAAGUGUCUGAGCUUGCUGCUAAGCAAUAAGGAUCUAAUAUAUACACAUUGAUUUUACUUUAAUCAAUUCGGAUUACUCUUAGUAGACAGUUUUUAUUAACUGAGUAAGAUGAUCUAAUCUAAGGAAAUCGGGACAAUUCAGGAGGAAAAAAAAAAAAAGAGUUUUAGAACAAAACUUGUUUCUGUCCACGAGGAGAUCCUGGCAUUAUUCAUGUAGUGGGCUCACCCCUAGCACUUCAUAUACAAAUAUAUUGCAGCAAAUAGUACUAAAAUCUUAACAAGGACCUGUCAUGCUUGCUAUCAAUACUAACAUGAGCUCACUACAUUAAUGAAUUUGAGUUUUUAAGAUAAACUCCAAAAGCAGUGGCUUUGCCAAGCCAGUAGAUUAAUUGUGUUAGUAAAAACAGGUCUGGGCUGCGAUCUUGUGGUUUGACUAGUUUUGCACUUGAGGAAAAUUUAAAUGCAUAUAUCUCAUUUCAUUUCCUGUGCUCACUUGCUUCGUGAUUACUGUGUGCUGUUGAAAGGGAUACAACUGCAUCUAAGAAAUACAUAGAAAUUCUGAUGUGCUAAUAUAUUUAACAUACUAUGAAUUGUGUGUGUUUUCAGAGCAUUUAUGCAUUAUUUAAUACAAUACAUUAUUAGUUAUCAAAAAUAACUUUAAACACACACAUAAAAAAGAUGCACUUCACUAGGGCAUAGUACAACCAGAAGUGAAGUAUAGAUUAAGACAGCAGAGAUCUCCCACUCCCUAUACAAAAAAGUGACUUAUUUGAAAUGUUACUUAUGAUAAAGGCUAUCUUCAGCAUGAUGUGCUACUCUUUGCAGAGUGUUCACUCAAAGUUUGCAGAAAUGACAAAAUGUAAGAAGAGAAUGUAAUCUGCAAAGACAGUCAGAGUUUCCUGACUUUCAAUAGCUGAUAUAAAUAAAUACACAUAU
ensembl:lncRNA